rnacentral:ncRNA from 16 species
AAAUUGUAUAUUAGCUUAGGUGUCUGAUUAAUUUCAGGUGAAAAGGGAAUACGGUGAAAAUCCGUAACAGCCCCCGCUACUGUAAUGUGGACAAAUCUAAAACCACUGGUUUAUAACCGGGAAGGAAGAGGAGGAUGAAACUAAGUCAGGAGACCUGCCUAAGCUUUGGAUAAAGAC